rnacentral:rRNA from 1 species
UACGAAGGGGGCUAGCGUUGCUCGGAAUCACUGGGCGUAAAGGGUGCGUAGGCGGGUCUUUAAGUCAGGGGUGAAAUCCUGGAGCUCAACUCCAGAACUGCCUUUGAUACUGGAAAGCUUGAGUUCGGGAGAGGUGAGUGGAACUGCGAGUGUAGAGGUGAAAUUCGUAGAUAUUCGCAAGAACACCGGUGGCGAAGGCGGCUCACUGGCCCGAUACUGACGCUGAGGUGCGAAAGCGUGGGGAGCAAACAGG